rnacentral:misc_RNA from 1 species
GAUGAAGAACGCAGCGAAAUGCGAUAAGUAAUGUGAAUUGCAGAAUUCAGUGAAUCAUCGAAUCUUUGAACGCACCUUGCACCCUUUGGCAUUCCGAAGGGUAUGCUCGUUUGAGUGUCAUUGUACUCUCACACUCUCCGAUCCUAUGGAUUCGGGGAGCGGUGGACUUGGGUGUUGCUGCCUUUCCCCGUGGCUCACCUCAAAUGCGUCAGUGCACCUCUUGGUUGGACAUAGUACGGCGUGAUAAGUGUCUUCGCCGGCACCUCGCAAGAGGGUGGCCGAUCGGGAGCUCUGCGCUUUCAAACCGUCUUCGGACAAUUUCUGACAUCUUGACCUCAAAUCGAGUAGGACUACCCGCUGAACUUAAGCAUAUCAAUAAGCGGAGGA